rnacentral:rRNA from 1 species
CCGGUCGGUAACACCGGCAGCUCUAGUGGUAGCAAUUUUAUGGGCCUAAAGCGUCCGUAGCCGGUUUAAUAAGUCUCUGGUGAAAUCCUGUAGCUUAACUGUGGGAAUUGCUGGAGAUACUAUUAGACUUGAGACCGGGAGAGGUUGGAGGUACUCCCAGGGUAGAGGUGAAAUUCUGUAAUCCUGGGAGGACCGCCUGUUGCGAAGGCGUCUAACUGGAACGGUUCUGACGGUGAGGGACGAAAGUUAGGGGCGCGAACCGGAUUAGAUACCCGGGUAGUCCUAACUGUAAACGAUGCGGACUUGGUGUUGGGGUGGCUUUGAGCUGUCCCAGUGCCGAAGGGAAGCUGUUAAGUCCGCCGCCUGGGAAGUACGGUCGCAAGACUGAAACUUAAGGAAUUGGCGGGGGAGCACCACAACGCGUGGAGCCUGCCGGUUUAAUUGGAUUCAACGCCGGACAUCUCACCAGAGGCGACAGCUGUAUGAUAGCCAGGUUGAUGACUUUGCUUGACUAGCUGAGUAGUGGUGCAUGG